rnacentral:rRNA from 1 species
UACGAAGGAGCCCGAGCGUUAUCCGGAUUUAUUGGGUUUAAAGGGUGCGUAGGCGGACAUGCAAGUCAGUGGUGAAAUCUCUACUGCUCAACAGAGAAACUGCCAUUGAAACUAUGUGUCUUGAGUACAUUUGAGGCGGGACGGAAUGUGUCAUGUAGAGGUGAAAUUCUUAGAUAUGACACAGAACACCAAUUGCGAAGGCAGCUCGCUAACUGUAACUGACGCUGAGGCACGAAAGCGGUGGGGAUCAAACAGG